rnacentral:lncRNA from 1 species
GUAACAAAUAAAAAUAAAUGUGAAUCUUGUCGUUAAAUUUAGACUAACGAUCUUCAAUAAUGUCAUUGAAAUGUUAAUCGUGAAACUCGUGCUUAAAAAAUUCCCGCGGAAAUGUGUGUACUCGUGGUUUACGUAAAUAACGUAUCGGACGUAAGUGUAUUUGACACUAUUUUUCUCUGUUAGAUUAUAUUAUAAUCGUGUAUUAUUUGCGAUAUUAUUUUUUUUUUUAAAUAAACUUGAUUUAGAAAAGAAUGCUGUUUUACUGGAUAAAACAAAGACUCUUUUAACUGUUUUUGUAGAAAUGAAAUACGUGCUCCCUUUACGUUCGUUCGUACCUUUCGUCAAUUUGUAAGAAAGCUCUAAUCGG